UUAAUAUAUAACCUUUGGCAACGUUCAAAUGAACGUUGCAAAAGAUGGAAUAUUUUUGCAAAAUCUAAUUAGCCCUAAUUUUUCCUUUUUUCAUUGUCUCCACAUCUCACCGUCUCUCGUCACUUCCUCUCUUGACAUUAUUGAUCCUUCUUAGAGGCAGACACCACCGUCGUUGGACGGUACCAUCAUAACCAAAGGCAGCCUGUAAAUGAAGAAGCCUCUGGCCAAGGACCACCACAGCAAGGUUGACGAUAGAGGCCGUUGCAUUCGCAAGCCUGUAAUCUGCACCGCCAGGGUUUUCAGAUCAUCUGUGAACUUGACCACAAGUCCGAUGGGUAGACUAUUGAGUGGCUUCUCUAUCACGCGAAGCCUUCAAUUAUAGCUGCCACGACACUGAUACAACCCCUACUAGUUUCACCACCGUCUGCACCUCAACUUGGAACUCCCUUGUCCCUCAUUCACAGCUUACUCCAACCAAUCUUCCGAACAACCAAGGGAAGACGGUGAUAAUUCAUAUUAAAAUUAUGAAUUAUUUAAGCUAUGUCAUCAGUGUGCAUAAGUUUAUGUAUAUUUGGUUUUUUUAUUGUGAAUUAUCAUCGUGGUUUUCAAUUUAUGAUGCUGAUAUUGAUAAAUUCAGUUAUGAUGUAAUUUUUUGAAUUCAGAGUUGAGAGUGCUAUUGUAAAAAAAUAAAAAAUAAAAAUAAAAAAACCAUUCCCUUUCCCAUAAUAUGCUGUUUAGUAUUAUCAAUUUGUGUAACAAGCUCUGUUGUAGCUACUUUGGCUUUUCUAGCUAGCAGAGUCUUAUUAUCUAAGAGGGAUUCUCGGUGGGCAUAAGCAUAGGUUUCUGAGGAGAGGCUCAUUUCAUUGCUUAUGAACAGGGGUUGAACACUUGUUGAGAGAUAUGAAAUGCUUUCAACUAACGUCAAUUUGGGUCGAUUAUUUUGGUUGAACAGAAUGAUGCUAUUUACUUCUAUUCCUAGACCAAUGCCGCUUGUAUCAAUCAAUACACAUGAUUUAAUUCAAAUUUCUCGAGAAGGAUCCUUUCAUUUACUCUGGAGCAUUUAGCUGUAGCUACAGAGCCUGGAUUAUCCCUAAGAGUAUGCAUCUAUAAUGUUGUAUCAUUUAUAUUAACAAUCAUUGUUAAUCUUGAGAAAGAAUAUUAUGUUAUUGCUCUUAUUUAUUUUCUAAAUUUUCUGUUAGUUUUCCACCAAAGUUGAGUGUAUGACUUAAACUGUCAGGAAAAUGGGUUAUUAUAUGAAGCAAGCAACCCUGGUAAUUAAUGCCAACUGUUAGGUUUGAGCAUGAUUUUUUC
rnacentral:lncRNA from 1 species